GCCGUGGUCGUGCAGGGC
rnacentral:miRNA from 1 species